rnacentral:rRNA from 1 species
GACGAACGCUGGCGGCGUGCUUAACACAUGCAAGUCGAACGGAAAGGCCCUGCUUUUGUGGGGUGCUCGAGUGGCGAACGGGUGAGUAACACGUGAGUAACCUGCCCUUGACUUUGGGAUAACUUCAGGAAACUGGGGCUAAUACCGGAUAGGAGCUCCUGCUGCAUGGUGGGGGUUGGAAAGUUUCGGCGGUUGGGGAUGGACUCGCGGCUUAUCAGCUUGUUGGUGGGGUAGUGGCUUACCAAGGCUUUGACGGGUAGCCGGCCUGAGAGGGUGACCGGCCACAUUGGAACUGGGAUACGGCCCGGACUCCUACGGGAGGCAGCGGUGGGGAAUAUGGCACAAUGGGCGGAGGCCUGUGGCAGCAACGCCGCGUGCGGGAGGACGGCCUUCGGGUGGAAACCCGCUUUGGCCUGUAACGAAGCGGGGGUGACGGUAAUGGGUAAAGAAGCACCGGCUAACUACGU